rnacentral:rRNA from 1 species
AUACGGAGAUGCCGAGCGUUAUCCGGAUUUAUUGGGCUUAAAGGGUGCGUAGGCGGAUGUUUAAGUCAGUUGUGAAUGUUUCAGGCUCAACCUUGAAAUUGCAGUUGAUACUGGACGUCUUGAGUGCAUUAAAUGUGGGCGGAAUUCGUGGUGUAGCGGUGAAAUGCUUAGAUAUCACGAAGAACUCCAAUUGCGAAGGCAGCUCACAGGACUGUAACUGACGCUGAUGCACGAAAGUGUGGGGAUCAAACAGGAUUAGAUACCCUGGUAGUCCACGCAGUAAACGAUGAAUGCUCGCUGUUUGCGAUAAACAGUAAGCGCCCAAGCUAAAGCAUUAAGUAUUCCGCCUGGGGAGUACGCCGGCAACGGUGA